rnacentral:rRNA from 1 species
UACGGAGGAUGCAAGCGUUAUCCGGAAUGAUUGGGCGUAAAGCGUCCGCAGGUGGCUGUGUAAGUCUGCUGUUAAAGAGUCUAGCUCAACUAGAUACAAGCAGUGGAAACUACACGGCUAGAGUACGUUCGGGGCAGAGGGAAUUCCUGGUGUAGCGGUGAAAUGCGUAGAUAUCAGGAGGAACACCGGUGGCGAAGGCGUCCCUCUGGCCGGAUACUGACGCUGAGACGCGAAAGCGUGGGGAGCGAACAGG